rnacentral:rRNA from 2 species
GGCCAUCGCUCAACGGAUAAAAGCUACCCCGGGGAUAACAGGCUUAUCUCCCCCAAGAGUCCACAUCGACGGGGAGGUUUGGCACCUCGAUGUCGGCUCAUCGCAUCCUGGGGCUGUAGUCGGUCCCAAGGGUUGGGCUGUUCGCCCAUUAAAGCGGUACGCGAGCUGGGUUCAGAACGUCGUGAGACAGUUCGGUCCCUAUCCGUCGUGGGCGCAGGAAAUUUGAGAGGAGCUGUCCUUAGUACGAGAGGACCGGGAUGGACGCACCGCUGGUGUACCAGUUGUCUUGCCAAAGGCAUCGCUGGGUAGCUAUGUGCGGACGGGAUAAGUGCUGAAAGCAUCUAAGCAUGAAGCCCCCCUCAAGAUGAGAUUUCCCAUAGCGUCAAGCUAGUAAGAUCCCUGAAAGAUGAUCAGGUUGAUAGGUCAGAGGUGGAAGCGCGGUGACGUGUGGAGCUGACUGAUACUAAUCGAUCGAGGACUUAACCAAU